rnacentral:lncRNA from 1 species
CUCAGCCCUAGAGGCGGUGCAGUGCAGGUAAAGGAGCCGGCUGCCUGGCAACCCACUUUGGAUCUUAAACCCCUGGCCAGGCACCCAACGUUCUGCCCUCAGCAGCCAGGUGUCCAGCUCCUUGAGUCCGCCCCCCACACAUCUGAUCUGUCUCCCAAGUCCGGUAGCUUGAAAUCUCUUUCUGAGAGUGUGCUUUUCUCAUCUGUUAAGUGGGGGAUCGGGACACGGAAUUGAUCCACUUGGUUCCUUCCGCAAAGUGGAUGGGAACGAGAGGACCCGUCAAUCGCAAAGACGCAAAACCAAACCAGCAGAGGAAGGGUCCCCUUAAUUCUGUGGGAGGAAGCAGAGCAAGACAGCUGAGAUGUUGGGAGGUGGGGCCUCGGCAGCCUGGAUCUCUUUGGAUGUAAAAUACGAUAAGUAACACCUUCUCUUUGGGAUUGUUGGAAGACCAAAAGGACAAUGUGGGGAUUUGCCGACCCGGCCCACGGUGGGUGCCCAAGGAUGGCAGGCAAGUUUUGAAGCCCGGUUCUUGGGGGAGUCUAACUAGUUUUUAUAUUGGAUCCAGUCCUAGCUGGGCAGGAAACUUGCUGUCCAGCACACAAACCCUGAUAUUCUUUCGAGCCCCGGGAUCCCGAACGCGGUCGGGGCGGGAGGUUGGGGGGGGGGGGCAGGCACUCUGCUGGCCCUUGCAACUGCCUUGAUCACCUGUAACUAUCCAGGGUUUUCAGGCUGGCUUGGGGUAACACCGCCCAGCCCCAUCAAAGAAAUGCAGCGUGAACAGUCCCACACCUCUUGGCUCCUGUCUCUCAAGGAACAUGCAAGUGAAUCUAAUUAAUGACCUUCAGUAUCUUCUGUGCUUUUUUAUUAUCCCAUCCACAGUUCCUGGAGCCUUCCGGUCACUUACAAUUCAAACAAAAGAAACACCAAAAAGCUAGCUCGUGUGUCAUGGGCUCCUUUUCUCUGUCUCGGCACCAGAAGGUUCUAGAAACCGUUUGCAGACUCUCCUCAGGGACUCAGAAGGGUGGCGUCUGAACCUGACGGACGGAUACGAAGAAGUGUGAUCUGUGCUCGAGGUGGAAAUGCAAAAUGAUGAACAAUUGAAAGGACAACGGGCAAAGAAUAGAGACACUCAGUAACUUGACCAAACUCACAAGAAGCCGGUGCGUGAACCGGAAUGAGAAACCAUUAAUCUGCAAUGGGAAAUACUCCUUUGCGAUGACAGAACACGCAUGUCUGCCAUCCCAGGCACCUCGCUGCACAGAUCAAGAUGCCCGUGACGUUCCGUGAGGGAGCCCGGUGGGGCGCCUGGCUGGCUCCGUCAGAAGAGCAUGGGACUCUCGAUGAUCUCAGGGUCGUGAGUUCAGACCCCAUGUUGGGCAUGGAGCCUACUUUAAAUAAAUAAAUAAAUAAAUAAAUAAAUAAAUAAAUA